GACUGCCACUCCUUCUUUACGGUGCCCAAGUUUUCAUUUAACGCUGUAAUCUGCAUGAUUUUGGCUCUAGAUAUCUAAGGAUUCAAGAAAGCUAAUGAUCACAUUAAGAUUCAGAAAAAGACAGCUGCAAACAGUAAGAGCAAUGGACCCAACUUCCCAAGAGCCUGCUUUCCUUAUUGAACCUGUUUUUAAGCAUGCAUAAUUAAAACAAUCCAUAUUCCCUUUGUAGCAGAAGAAGUUGAGCAACACCAAGGCAAGGAAAAACAAAGCUAUUCUGAGCAACCCAUAACCAAGCUACUAAAGCAAAAUAUACAGGACCCACAA